rnacentral:rRNA from 1 species
GAUGAACGCUGGCGGCGUGCCUAAUACAUGCAAGUCGAGCGAACGGACGAGAAGCUUGCUUCUCUGAUGUUAGCGGCGGACGGGUGAGUAACACGUGGAUAACCUACCUAUAAGACUGGGAUAACUUCGGGAAACCGGAGCUAAUACCGGAUGAUAUUUUGAACCGCAUGGUUCAAAAGUGAAAGACGGUCUUGCUGUCACUUAUAGAUGGAUCCGCGCUGCAUUAGCUAGUUGGUAAGGUAACGGCUUACCAAGGCAACGAUGCAUAGCCGACCUGAGAGGGUGUCCGGCCACACGGAAACUGAGACACGGUCCGAACCCCUACGGGGGGCGGCAGUAGGAAAUCUUCCGCAAUGGGCGAAGGCCUGACGAGGCAACGCCGCGUAGGUAUUAAAGGUCUUCGAUUCGUAAAACUCUGUUAUAGGGAAAAAACAAUGUGUAAAGUAACUGUCCCAUUCUUGACGGAACCAAUCAGAAAGCCACGGCUAACUACGUG